CCUACGGGAGGCAGCAGUGGGGAAUAUUGCACAAUGGAGGAAACCCUGAUCCAGCCACGCCGCGUGAAGGAAGAAGGAUUUCGGAAUGUAAACUUCUAUCAGCAGGGAAGAAAAUGCCGGUACCUGACUAAGAAGCCCAGGCUAACUACGUGCAAGAAGCCGCGGCAAUACGGAGGAGGCAAGCGUUAUCCGGAUUUACUGGGUGUAAAGGGAGCGUAGGCGGUUUAGCAAGUCAGAAGUGAAAGUCCGGGGCUCAACUUCGGGACUGCUUGUGAAACUGUUGAACUAGAGAGCAGUAGAGGUAAGUGGAAUGUCUGGUGUAGCGGUGAAAUGCGGAGAUAUUAGGAGGAACACC
rnacentral:rRNA from 1 species